rnacentral:rRNA from 1 species
GACGAACGCUGGCGGCGUGCUUAACACAUGCAAGUCGAGCGGUAAGGCCUUUCGGGGUACACGAGCGGCGAACGGGUGAGUAACACGUGGGUGAUCUGCCCUGCACUUCGGGAUAAGCCUGGGAAACUGGGUCUAAUACCGGAUAUGACCUCCUAUCGCAUGGUGGGUGGUGGAAAGAUUUAUCGGUGCAGGAUGGGCCCGCGGCCUAUCAGCUUGUUGGUGGGGUAAUGGCCUACCAAGGCGACGACGGGUAGCCGACCUGAGAGGGUGACCGGCCACACUGGGACUGAGACACGGCCCAGACUCCUACGGGAGGCAGCAGUGGGGAAUAUUGCACAAUGGGCGAAAGCCUGAUGCAGCGACGCCGCGUGAGGGAUGACGGCCUUCGGGUCGUAAACCUCUUUCAGCAGGGACGAAGCGCAAGUGACGGUACCUGCAGAAGAAGCACCGGCUAACUACGUG